AUGCACCAGGCCUCUCAUAUACUAUAAAAUUGGAACCAUACAGAGAUUAGCAUGGCCCUGUGCAAAGGUGACACACAAAUUCAUGAAGCGUUCCAUAGUUUA